GCUCUAGCGGGCAGUAGGACGCACAGCACCGCCGACCACGCAGACAUCCUGGGGAGCCGAGGAAUACCUGCCCAGGGAUGGCAUUACCCACAGUGAUCCAGGACCUCACACAUUAACUAUCAAUCAAGAAAAUGCCCCUACAGACUUGCCCUUAGGCCAGUCUGACAGAGGCAAUUCCUCAACUGAGGUUCCUUCCUUCUAGAUGACUCCAGCUUGCAUCAAGUUGACAAAAACAAAUAAAUAACAAAUAACUCAGAAACAAGCAUACAAUUCAAUCCAGUGAAGAAAGCAUCUGUGGUCAACAAUGAUAAAGACACCCAGCAUCACUGCAAGGGAGUUUGAAUCAUCUGCAUGGUCAAUCACAGAUGACCACAGAACGUGUUAGGCUGGUAGGGUAAGACAUUGUGUGGGGGAAGGAAGAAAGUUUUCUUCGCUAAUUCACUCAACAUUUAUUGAGAGAUGCAAGCCAUCAAAGAAGUGCCCCCUCCAGAAACUAGACGCUGCAGACCAACGGUGAAUGCCCAGCCUGGAUCACCCCAUCUCAGGAAGAGGCUCCAGAAGCAGAAAGUACCCUAGAUCCUUGAAGACUUUACAAUUGUUUAAAAAUCACUUAAACUCUGGCAAAAGAUACAGAUACUGGCUAAUUAUUGCAUAAUUUAUUUUUAUUCAUAACUCUGUGUCCUGUUAAUUCUUAAAGUAAUUUUAUUCCUCCUAA